CCCUUAGAUGUCCUGGGCCGCACGCGCGUUACACUGAUGCAUUCAACGAGCUUAUAACCUUGGCGAGAGGCCUGGGCAAUCUUGUUAACGUGCAUCGUGAUAGGGAUAGAUUAUUGAAAUUAUUAAUCUUGAACGAGGAAUUCCUAGUAAACGCAGAUCAUCAAUCUGCAUUGAUUACGUCCCUGCCCUUUGUACACACCGCCCGUCGCACCUACCGAUUGGAUGGUCCGGUGAAGCCUCGGGAUUGUGGUUCUUGCCGCUUUAUUGUGGCGUGACCGCGAGAACUUGUCUAAACCUUAUCAUCUAGAGGAAGGUGAAGUCGUAACA
rnacentral:rRNA from 1 species